rnacentral:rRNA from 1 species
AUUGAACGCUGGCGGCAGGCCUAACACAUGCAAGUCGAGCGAGCGGCGGACGGGUGAGUAAUGUCUGGGAAACUGCCUGAUGGAGGGGGAUAACUACUGGAAACGGUAGCGAAUACCGCAUACUAUCAGAUGUGCCCAGAUGGGAUUGGCUAGUAGGUGGGGUAACGGCUCACCUAGGCGACGAUACCUAGCUGUUCUGAGAGGAUGACCAGCCACACUGGGACGGAGACACGGUCCAGACUCCUACGGGAGGCAGCAGUGGGGAAUAUUGAGCAAUGGGCGCAAGCCUGAUGCAGCCAUGCCGCGUGUGUGAAGAAGGCCUUCGGGUUGUAAAGCACUGUCAGCGGGGAGGCGUUACCCGCAGAAGAAGCACCGGCUAACUCCGUGCCAGCCGCCGCGGUAAUUC